rnacentral:rRNA from 1 species
AUUGAACGCUGGCGGCAGGCCUAACACAUGCAAGUCGAACGAGUGGCGGACGGGUGAGUAAUGUCUGGGAAACAGCCUGAUGGAGGGGGAUAAAAACUGGAAAAGGUAGCUAAAACCGCAUACCAUCAGAUGUGCCCAGGUGGGAUUAGCUUGGUGGGGGGGUAAAGGCUCACCAAGGCGAGGAUACCUCGCUGGUCUGAGAGGAUGACUAGCCACACUGGAACGGAGCCACGGUCCAGACUCCUACGGGAGGCAGCAGUGGGGAAUAUUGCACAAUGGGCGCAAGCCUGAUGCAGCCAUGCCGCGUGUAUGAAGAAGGCCUUCGGGUUGUAAAGUACUUUCAGCGGGGAGGCGUUACCCGCAGAAGAAGCACCGGCUAACUCCGUGCCAGCAGCCGCGGUAAUUC